rnacentral:rRNA from 1 species
UACGAAGGGGGCAAGCGUUGUUCGGAAUUACUGGGCGUAAAGGGCGCGUAGGCGGCUUAUCAAGUCAGGCGUGAAAUUCCCGGGCUCAACCUGGGGGCUGCGCUUGAUACUGAUGAGCUUGAAUGCGGGAGAGGAUAGUGGAAUUCCCAGUGUAGAGGUGAAAUUCGUAGAUAUUGGGAAGAACACCGGUGGCGAAGGCGAGUCCCUGGACAACACCUGACACUGAGGCACGAAAGCUAGGGGAGCAAACAGG